UUGGGUUGCUGAAUUAGAGAUCGGCGCCUGUAUUUAUUAUCUAUAAUCUGGAGUAAGACAAUGUCUCUAAGUGUUGAAGCUAAAGCUAAAAUCGUAGCUGAUUUCGGUCGUGGUACU
rfam:Serratia proteamaculans 568, complete genome.